GACGAACGCUGGCGGCGUGCUUAACACAUGUAAGUCGAACGGUAAGGCCCUUCGGGGUACACGAGUGGCGAACGGGUGAGUAACACGUGGGUGAUCUGCCCUGCACUUCGGGAUAAGUCGGGGAAACUGGGUCUAAUACCGGAUAGGACUCCGGACUGCAUGGUCUGGGGUGGAAAGCUUUUGCGGUGUGGGAUGGGCCCGCGGCCUAGCAGCUUGUUGGUGGGGUGAUGGCCUACCAAGGCGACGACGGGUAGCCGGCCUGAGAGGGUGACCGGCCACACUGGGACUGAGAUACGGCCCAGACUCCUACGGGAGGCAGCAGUGGGGAAUAUUGCACAAUGGGCGCAAGCCUGAUGCAGCGACGCCGCGUGAGGGAUGACGGCCUUCGGGUUGUAAACCUCUUUCAGCAUCGACGAAGCGAAAGUGACGGUAGGUGCAGAAGAAGGACCGGCCAACUACGUGCCAGCCGCCGCCGUAA
rnacentral:rRNA from 1 species